GAUGAACGCUGGCGGCGUGCCUAAUACAUGCAGGUCGAGCGAACGGACGAGAAGCUUGCUUCUCUGAUGUUAGCGGCGGACGGGUGAGUAACACGUGGAUAACCUACCUAUAAGACUGGGAUAACUUCGGGAAACCGGAGCUAAUACCGGAUGAUAUUUUGAACCGCAUGGUGCAAAAGUGAAAGACGGUCUUGCUGUCACUUAUAGAUGGAUCCGCGCUGCAUUAGCUAGUUGGGAAGGUAACGGCUUACCAAGGCAACGAUGCAUAGCCGACCUGAGAGGGUGAUCGGCCACACUGGAACUGAGACACGGCCCAUACUCCUACGGGAGGCAGCAGUAGGGAAUCUUCCGCAAUGGGCGAAAGCCUGACGGAGCAACGCCGCGUGAGUGAUGAAGGUCUUCGGAUCGUAAAACUCUGUUAUUAGGGAAGAACAUAUGUGUAAGUAACUGUGCACAUCUUGACGGUACCUAAUCAGAAAGCCACGGCUAACUACGUG
rnacentral:rRNA from 1 species